CCUUGUGGAGGAGGACGCCGAAGGUGGGGCUAAUGACUGGGGUGAAGUCGUAACAAGGUAGCCGUACCGGAAGGUGCGGCUGGAUCACCUCCUAACAGGGAGACAACAAAAUGUUUAAUAUUAUUAUUUUGUCACCUUAGGUCGAUCGGUAUCUCACGUUCUUAAUUUAUUAAGAAUUUUAUUUCCUAAGUUUUUCUAGGUCACACCCAUUUAUUUUCCUGGGCCAUUAGCUCAGGUGGUUAGAGCGCACCCCUGAUAAGGGUGAGGUCCCUGGUUCAAGUCCAGGAUGGCCCAUAUCUCUAUGUUGGGGGUAUAGCUCAGUUGGUAGAGCGCCUGCUUUGCAAGCAGGAUGUCAGCGGUUCGAGUCCGCUUACCUCCACUGAUUACCACCUCUUCCAUAAUCUGUAGAAGGGAAAAUUUUUUGAGUUGUGAUCAUUAUUCUGAACGAAUCUAGCUUCCUAAUGAAACCAUUAAGAUGCUGGACUCAUUGAAUUAAUUUCAUUGUUUUCAGAGAACCUUGACAACUGCAUAGAUUAUUUUUAAAGACAAUAAGCAUCUUUAAUGAUGCAGAUUUAUUAUUUUUGCAAAUGCAUUAAUAACAAUUCUAUUAAGCUGAUGCUUCAAUUUUUGAAGUUAUUGGUCAAGCUACAAAGGGCUCACGGAGGAUACCUAGGCACACAGAGGCGAUGA
rnacentral:misc_RNA from 1 species